rnacentral:rRNA from 1 species
AGUGAACGCUGGCGGUAGGCCUAACACAUGCCAGUCGAACGGCAGCACAGUAAGAGCUUGCUCUUACGGGUGGCGAGUGGCGGACGGGUGAGGAAUACAUCGGAAUCUACUUUUUCGUGGGGGAUAACGUAGGGAAACUUACGCUAAUACCGCAUACGACCUACGGGUGAAAGCAGGGGAUCUUCGGACCUUGCGCGAUUGAAUGAGCCGAUGUCGGAUUAGCUAGUUGGCGGGGUAAAGGCCCACCAAGGCGACGAUCCGGAGCUGGUCUGAGAGGAUGAUCAGCCACACUGGAACUGAGACACGGUCCAGACUCCUACGGGAGGCAGCAGUGGGGAAUAUUGGACAAUGGGCGCAAGCCUGAUCCAGCCAUACCGCGUGGGUGAAGAAGGCCUUCGGGUUGUAAAGCCCUUUUGUUGGGAAAGAAAAGCAGCAGGUUAAUACCCCGCUGUUCUGACGGUACCCAAAGAAUAAGCACCGGCUAACUUCGUG